AUAGAAAGUAGUAUCUGCCCACUGAUAUUUAAAGGGCUGCGGUAUUUUGACCGUACUAAGGUAGCAUAAUCAUUUGUUCUUUAAUUGAGGACUUGUAUGAAUGAUUUAACUUUAAUUUAAUUGUUUUUAAGAAAUAAUUUGAAUUUUAUUUUUUUGUGAAGAAGCUUAAAUAAAUGAGAAAGACAAGAAGACCCUAUGAAAGUUUAUAAUUAGAGUUUUAAUAAAUGAUAAUUUAAUAUUUGAAAUUAUUGGGCUGGGGUGGUUGAUUAAGAAAACUAAUAAAGAGUUGAACUUUAAUUUAGGAGUUGGAUCUUUGUUUAAUUGAUUGAAUAAGUUACUCUAGGGAUAACAGCAUAAUUUAUUUUGAGAGUUCAUAUUGGUAAAUAAGUUUGUGACCU
rnacentral:rRNA from 1 species